CUGAAAAUGGAGCAACUUUCAUGUCCGGAUCGAAAGUCGAUUCAACUUAGAUCAAUUUGUUAUCAAUUGACGAAACCGAAGGCUGAAAACAAGCAUGUGCGACCGCACAUCUAAAACACCAUGUGACCGCAUGGAGGCAUACCGAAACUCAAGAUGACAUUUUUGUUGAACCAUGCGACCGCAUGAAAAUACACCAUGCUGCCACAUAGGCCUUUUUUUUUGGCGAAUUUCCUAUUUUUGGUAUUUUUUCAUAUUUUGUUAGAUUUUGAUUUUUUUCCAUAUUUUGGGGAUUAUGAUCGACUUUUGCACGAUUUUUACCUAGUUUUUAGGUUUAGUAUAAAUAGGAGUUUCCAUUCAAUUGUUAAAAACUUUUGACAUUAUUAAUAUUGAAUUAAAGUGAGGCGUAUUGUCUUUUCUUCAUCGUUCUUCAUUGAACAAUUUUGAACUUAUCAAGCGCUAACUUGUGGCGUUCAAACAACUGGAUUUAAUUCUUGGAUUGCGUGAUCAAUGGGUCUUUCAAGCGUCGUUCUUGUUGGAUUUUUUUGUUCGACUUUCUUUUGGGUUAAUCCUAAACUCUUGGAUUAAUUUGGCUUUUUUGAGUUCGUCAAUCUCGUUGUGGGUUUCGUAGUCAACGUUGCUACGGGGUUCGCAUAAGUUAGUAUCAGAGCUUUAGCUCCAA
rnacentral:lncRNA from 1 species